GUGACGAUGAUGGCAGUAGCCGACGCUCGUCAGAAGGCGGUGGCGGCGGAGGAGGGCGCCGGAGACGAAGACGCAGGCGACGCCUCCUGUCGGCGGGACCGUGCUGCAGCGAGAGGCCCACGAGCACGACCACGGCGGGCGCCGCGGCCAUGCUGCUCAACGAGCCGUCCACUACAAACACGGUGGCCGGCGCUAGGAACGCGAACGGAACGAGUCAGGCGGUGUCGGACGCAGGCAGCACUGCGAAAGAACAGGGUGAACAAGGAGCCGAGCAUCUUCUACUGGGUCCUCUGGUAGACGUGCCCCGCUAAAGAGGAGAUCCAGACCCCAUCCGUCCCCUUUACAUAAGAAGUAAGCCGGUUCAGCCUCUCACGUGACUCGUGGAGAGGAACAUGUCAACACACCCCCUCUCUCACUCUCUCUACACACAAAGUAAAGCGACCUCAAUUCCUGCAAUUCGACGCUACGACAAACCAAAAAAUGAAAAAAGGAACACUCGUCGUUUUCAAGCUGCAGAGGGGUGACCACCUCGUGUCGAGUUGAAACAAUGAAUCCUCACCACCUCUCUUGACCCGACAUGCUGCUCAAAACACGGGCGGACAGCUCAACACGACCACGACAGUGACCAAGAAAAAAAAAAACAAGAACACGCCUGCGCAGUACACUGAGACCGCAUUUGCGAAGAACUGUCGUUUCUGAACUUUCUUCUUCGUGUGUAUGUGUGUGUGCAAACAGUGGAGCCGGUAAGGCCUAGCUGAUCAAGCCUAGCUGGUUAAGCCUAAUGGCGCGGGAGUCAGGUCGGUUUGGCCCAGGCAUUUCGCGUCGGCCGGCAGACGACUUUCGACGCAGGAGCAGCGUCUCCGAAAAGCCACGUGAUCUACUGCGAAAGUGACAACCCAUUCAAGCGACCAGAGGGUGUUUUUCGACGCGCCAAUCAAGGCUCAGGGGUUUUGUGAACAUUACACAGUGCCAUGUUUGGCCCACAAGGCCACGUGACAUACCGCGGGUCUCCUUCAAAACAGUGUGUAGUGGUUUGUGUGUGUGUAUUUGUGUGCAACAUGAAGGGCAGACGACAGCGAGCAGACGAUAGUGACGUGCUGCAACAUGAAGCGCAGGUCGCGAGCAGACGACAGUGAUGUGCUCAUUGUAUGGGCCGCCUAGAGGCAAUCGCUUCAAACACGCCUACCGGAUUUUCUAUCUUGUCUCCGGCUGUGUCUAUAUAUGGCUUGUGUCUUUCAACUUUGAGACCGUGGUUAAGAUGACGGGCCCGCGGCCUCACCUUUCAAGCUCACGAGCAUCGCGCGUGCUACUGUAGGCAGACCUGAGCGAUAUAUAUACUUUCUUUUUUUUUUGUCUUGAAGUGCAUCAAUGCGUACCUGAGACAAAAAAAAACGUUGCGCAAUCCACUUCUUUGGCCACUGCUACUCUCGCGACGAUUGCAGUGGCGUAACAUUCGUGUUUGCUUUUGCUUCGCGAGGACUGCAGCCAGUGUUUGGUCCACAGUAUUAUACUUGCACAUGCCUAGGGCUUUCCCGCGUAGAAUGAGGAAUGCCGUGCCAUCGUAGCGUCCGUCAGAUUUAGCGCCGAAUGCGUUUUCGCGAUUGCGCAACGCUGCGCUGACUCUCUGUACAUAGUUGCGGACUCAAUUUCAGUCGUCCUUACCGUUAUUACUUCGUACGUAACCUGUAUGUGUUGUUUCUGUCAAUACGUUAGAAUAAGAAGGUACGGUAGUUCCACACGUUAUGGCUAAAUAAAUUAAGGGCUAUGUAAUGCACGUGCUUUCGUUUCCACCGUCUUCAGUUUGGGUCAUAUCGGUGUAAUAUCGACUCGAACGCUUAGAUCACAGCCAACAUUAACCUCAGAGGCCAGAUUCGUAGAGAUAUGAGAUGGUUAGUACGAGAAAUUGCGCUUACCAGUCGUUGUGCUUAAAAUUUUGAUGCUGCGUUUCAAUCCGUGAGUACCGUACUUCAUCGCGGUGAAAGAGUGUACAGUUUGUGUGAAGCCAAUCGUAUUUAUGCUGGCAUACUGCCAGUACCAGCCAAUCUCAACUGCUUUUGGCUAAGGCUGGUUAAUCGUUGGCUAAUUGUCAGCUAAUGUUGGGCACACUGGGCCAAUGUUUGGCGGCUAAGUGUUGGCUAAUCAUCACCUAAUGUUAGUUACAUUUGGCUAGGGUCGGCUUACUGUUCUGCUCAUCCUGGCCUAGUUGUUAGCCAACGUUGCUUACUAUUGGUUAGAGCCGGCUAACUGUUGAUCAGGGCAGGCUAUGUUCACUGCGGUAAAAGCGUGCAGUUUGUGUGAAACCAUUAGUAUUCAUACUGGCACACUACCAGUAUCGGCCAAUCUUGGCUACUCCUGGCUAGGGCUGGCUAGCCAUUGGCUAAAUGCCAGCUAAUGUCGGUUAGAUUUGGCGAACAUUGGCUAAUAGUCACCUAAUGUGAGUUAAGUUUCGUUAACAAUGGCUAGUACUGGCUCAUUGUUUUGCUCAUCUUAGCUUAAUUGUUAGCCAACGUUGGCAAACUGUUGCUUAGAGAAGGCUAACUGUUGGUCGAGGCAGUCUGUGUUGACAAGUGCAAGUCACUGAUGGUUGAUUCCCCAAACGUUGCCCUCUAAAUCGCCACUCAAACUAUCCUUAUAAUUUUUGGGCUCAUAAAUCGUCUAGCUCUUUUGUGGUUGAAAAAACAUUGUCCUUACGCCGAACGAACGCUCACGUGACCUCAAUUGCGCACGGAAACGGAAGGCAUUGCCUCCGAGACUCCCGAACCACCCACUGAUCAUCAUUACGCAACAAUCCGCCUUUUUCAUUUUCUGUGCUGCCCUCUGGCGUUUUGGAAGGGUUUUGGUAGGGACCGGGACAACCGGUAUCGGUAGAACUAAAGCCUCCGAGAUUAAGGGACGUUUGGCGACUUCUCCGCUAGGGGAACGGCGCAUGCGCCGUGGCAUCGUGAUAAAAAAGCGGAUUGUCAUCUUCGUGCCGGCUUCGUUUUCUUCUCAUCUUCGUUUUCCCACAAAGAUGUAUACGUCACAAUGUGCGUGUGUCCGUACGUGUAAGCUGUAGCCUCCACGAUCAGUUCUGGUGUUGCUCAACGGGCGCGCUGCCGGGGUUGAUUGCGGAGGCCACGCUCUAUGUCCUCGACAUGUGUACGUCGUGUCGUGUCGUGUCGACUCCC